GUUGCUAGGGGCGGCGGCGGCCCCAGCUGUGGGCGACCCGCGCCAGGGAAAGUUCCGUUCUAGUCGGAGGUUUGAAAAACUGUCACCUUGCUAAGGCCACGCCUGCCUUUGACAAACAACGUUUCCCGAAGCGGCGUCCCUCGGAGUUUCCCGGAACGCCCCCUGAGACUCGCCUCCUUGCUGGCGGGCCUGUGGCCGUGGGAUGCAGCCUGCAGGCAAGUCCUGGACCCUCACCGCCGUGAAGGUGAACAGGUGAGAAAGGGGAUCUCUAACAUUGAAUAGCAAUCCAGUCUGAUUCAUCUAAGGCAAUUCACAGGAAGAUCUGAAAACGUUUGAAAACCAGGAAACAGCGCGCUGGGUGGAGGCAAUCCUUAUCAUUCAAAAAAUAGAGGCUUAGAAAGAGGAAGCGUUUCUUCUUUGUCGGUGGGACCAGCUCUCCGCAUAAGACUGUUUCGAGGAAUCAUUGAGAGAUGAUAAAGCAAGAAGUAGAAAUUAAAAUAGAAGGGGCUGCAACUAAAAGUGAACAAUGAUAACCCUAGAUGCACACUUGGGAGAAUAACACUAUGUCAUCAGAACUAGCCUGUUUCUUUCACUUCGGCUCUCGGUAUUCUGAGCUGAAAUUUCAUUGAUCAGGAUUUUACCACUAUUAAAAUUGGGUUAUGUUUCGUUGCUCUCAAAAUCAUGAUUUUACCCAGAGAAUUUCCUGAUCACUUAAAAAUUGUUUAGAAAAAAUAAACAUGUAUAGCUAUACCAGUA